GCACAAGCGGUGGAGCAUGUGGUUUAAUUCGACGCAACGCGAAGAACCUUACCUACUCUUGACAUCUACGGAAGACUGCAGAGAUGCGGUUGUGCCUUCGGGAACCGUAAGACAGGUGCUGCAUGGCUGUCGUCAGCUCGUGUUGUGAAAUGUUGGGUUAAGUCCCGCAACGAGCGCAACCCCUAUCCUUAGUUGCCAGCACGUAAUGGUGGGAACUCUAGGGAGACUGCCGGUGACAAACCGGAGGAAGGUGGGGAUGACGUCAAGUCCUCAUGGCCCUUACGAGUAGGGCUACACACGUGCUACAAUGGUACGUACAGAGGGAGGCAAGCUGGCGACAGUGAGCGGAUCUCUUAAAGCGUAUCGUAGUCCGGAUCGCAGUCUGCAACUCGACUGCGUGAAGUCGGAAUCGCUAGUAAUCGCAAAUCAGAAUGUUGCGGUGAAUACGUUCCCGGGC
rnacentral:rRNA from 1 species